GGGGACGAUUUUGGAUUCGACGCCGAUGAUGAAGCUUGAGGUGCAUGUGGUGAGGGUAAAGCGAUCACCUAAAUCCCCGUUUUACAUAUUAUAGUCGCAAACGACGAAAACUACGCACUAGCGGCUUAAUUGCCCGCUAACCUUCGAUUCUGGAUGCUUAUGGACAGAUGACAAGGGCACGCAACAUAAGCUCGCGCGGAAAGCUUGCCUAAGGCGGAACCGUUAAAUAAGUAUUAGGCUCGCCCUAAACGCCCUGUCUCUCGGGCCGUGAUGGGUUAAUCUAGUAGAGAGAAUAAACAUGUAGAGCCGAUAGGGGAGUGUUGGCGGACGCGGGUUCGAACCCCGCCGUCUCCACCA
rnacentral:tmRNA from 1 species